UCCCCAGUAGCUCAGUCGGCAGAGCAGGUGGCUGUUAACCACCGAGUCCGCGGUUCAAGUCCGUGCUGGGGAGCCA
rnacentral:tRNA from 1 species